rnacentral:rRNA from 1 species
UACGGGGGGGGGCAAGCGUUUGUUCGGAAUUACUGGGCGUAAAGGGCUCGUAGGCGGCCAACUAAGUCGGAUGUGAAAUCCCCAGGCUUAACCUGGGAACUGCAUCCGAUACUGGAUGGCUUGAAUCCGGGAGAGGGAUGCAGAAUUCCAGGUGUAGCGGUGAAAUGCGUAGAUAUCUGGAGGAAUACCGGUGGCGAAGGCGGCAUCCUGGACCGGCAUUGACGCUGAGGAGCGAAAGCUAGGGGAGCAAACGGG